rnacentral:snRNA from 1 species
GGAUGUGAGGGCGAUCUGGCUGCGACAUCUGUCACCCCAUUGAUCGCCAGGGUUGAUUCGGCUGAUCUGGCUGGCUAGGCGGGUGUCCCCUUCCUCCCUCACCGCUCCAUGUGCGUCCCUCAAUGGCUCAAGGGGGCGUUUCUUUCAAAAAGGUUAAGAACCACUGAUCUAAACACUCCAUCCUGCUAAAACUCAGGGCUGGUUGACCUGAUGUU